GACGAACCGUGCGAACGUUGUUCGGAUUUACUGGGCGUAAAGGGCGCGUAGGCGGCCACGACAAGUCACUUGUGAAAUCUCCGGGCUUAACUCGGAACGGUCAAGUGAUACUGUCGGGCUAGAGUACAGAAGGGGCAACUGGAAUUCUCGGUGUAGCGGUGAAAUGCGUAGAUAUCGAGAGGAACACCUGCGGCGAAGGCGGGUUGCUGGGCUGAUACUGACGCUGAUGCGCGAAAGCCAGGGGAGCGAACGGG
rnacentral:rRNA from 1 species